rnacentral:rRNA from 1 species
AUGAACGCUGGCGGCGUGGAUAAGGCAUGCAAGUCGAACGGGAUGUAGCAAUACAUCUAGUGGCGAACGAGGUAGUAACACGUAGAUACGUGCCCAAAAGCUGGGAAUAAUCCAUCGAAAGGUGGACUAAUACCCAAUGGUCCCUCACGGGUAAAGAGGCAACUCACUUUUGGAUCGGUCUGCGGGCUAUCAGCUAGUUGGCGGGGUAAAGGCCCACCAAGGCGAUGACGGCUAGGGGAUGUGAGAGCAUGUUCCCCACCGAUGGGACUGAGACACGGCCCAUACACCUACGGGUGGCUGCAGUCGAGAAUCUUCCACAAUGGACGAAAGUCUGAUGGAGCGACGCCGCGUGAAUGAUGAAGCACUUCGGUGCGUAAAGUUCUUUUAUGGAGGAAAAAUUUUAUGAUAUUACUCCAAGAAUAAGGGGUUGCAAAACUCGU